rnacentral:misc_RNA from 1 species
GUUGACUGCUGGGAUUAAUUCUUUGUUUUGGAAACCAAUUGUUGCUAUUGGUGCUUUCAAUCUCCCUUCUUAUGAUUUUGAGUUGACACAUUUCUUAGAGAAGGUUUGGACGGUGAGGUUCAUGAGUUUGGGGGUUGGAAUAGGCAAUGUUAUGCAAAUUUGCAUAUCUGGUUAGAUGAAGGCUCAUCCUCAGUCACAGCUGGAACUGUGGUUGCUCAUAAUCCUUCUCUUGCUUUACGAAACGUGGAGCUUAAGCAGCUUGACGGGUCAUUUGAGAUGAAAGGGAAGGGAAGCAGUGAAUCCAAGGGAUGGGGUAUCUCAAUUGCAGGGAACCUAACACUCUUAUUGUACGGGAGUUCAGGUUCCAGAGCUGUAUAAAAUUUGAAAACAGUGCAACUUACAGAUUUGUUAAACUGAAAAUCAAGGUACUCAAAGAAGUGCAGGUAUUAAAUGACGGGAGAGUUGCUUAAACGCGUUAUUGUUAAAAGGAAAUAUUCUCUAAACGUGAUCAUUUCAACUCUAUCAGGAAGAAUUGUUGCAAUUGUUUCCCAUGCUUUUGAGGAGACAGGGUCGAAUGACAAAAACUUGUCAGACUAAUGACAAUCUUAAGAAAACCAAUGGAUGGAUGCCGACUGUGGAGCGGCAGCCUAGUCUUGCUGGUGAUUCAAACGCUAAUCAGAGGUUGAUUUACAAGGAUGAGUCCAUUUGCUACUCCGGGACUGUUGCAGAUACGCAUGGCAUACUCUCUGCAGAUGAUUUAAGCUCUGGUUGCAUCUCUAGUUCCUAAAUUAUCUUAGCCUAUGAGUCUUCCACCACUAGUAUUAUAUCACCCAUCCAUUGCAGCUGAGAACUUACAGUUUUAAUGCUGUCUGCAUGAAACUGAUGUUUCUGCAGGAUUAUCUUUAUCUUAGCGUUAUUAUCUAAAUGAUUGUAAUUAGUUAGCAAUUAUAUGACUGUUUACAAACUGAAACCCAGCAAACUGGUUUUGGGUCCCAUCUGUUAAUUUUAGAGAAUUUUUUUUAAUAUAGUUUUUAAGAUUCUUGGACCCAUCUGCUUUUUCUAACUGCUAUAACUAACGUGCAACUACCU